rnacentral:rRNA from 1 species
UAGGGAAUCUUCCGCAAUGGGCGAAAGCCUGACGGAGCAACGCCGCGUGAGUGAUGAAGGUCUUCGGAUCGUAAAACUCUGUUAUUAGGGAAGAACAAAUGUGUAAGUAACUAUGCACGUCUUGACAGUACCUAAUUAGAAAGCCACGGCUAACUACGUGCCAGCAGCCGCGGUAAUACGUAGGUGGCAAGCGUUAUCCGGAAUUAUUGGGCGUAAAGCGCGCGUAGGCGGUUUUUUAAGUCUGAUGUGAAAGCCCACGGCUCAACCGUGGAUGGUCAUUGGAAACUGGAAAACUUGAGUGCAGAAGAGGAAAGUGGAAUUCCAUGUGCAGCGGUGAAAUGCGCAGAGAUAUGGAGGAACACCAGUGGCGAAGGCGACUUUCUGGUCUGUAACUGACGCUGAUGUGCGAAAGCGUGGGGAUCAAACAGU